AUGGCCGAAUGCUUCAAUAGGGUGCUCAAAGGUGCACGUGGAUUACCCGUGACGGCAAUAGUUCAAUACAUAUUUGACAAGAUGAAUGCGUACUUUGUAAAGUACUUGAUGGAAACCGAUGCACAGAUAGCGGGUGAGAACCCACGGAAGUACAAGUACAAGUUCCCACCCAAAGUUGAUGAAUGGUUGCUAUUUCAAUCACGGAAGGCGGACUCAGAAGAAGCUAUAUUAUAUGACAAUGAGGAGUGGAAGUACGAAGUGAAAGAGCCAGGAGGAACCACAAACGAUGGCCGGCAACAUGGAGGUCGGGCUUUCAAGGUGUCGUUAACACAAUGUGAUUGCACUUGCGGGAGGCCAUUGUUGCUUCAUCUCCCAUGCUCACAUUUGUAUGCCGCCGGCCGCGUUAGGAAUGUGGACAUCAAUCACCCACGCACCGUGAGGGAGUCCCAGUUCUCAAUCAUGACGGUCAAGAAAACAUGGGCUCCCCGCUUUCACCCAUACUUUGACCAAUCACAAUGGCCGGAGUAUCAUGGAGUUCAACUAUGGCCGGAUCCG
rnacentral:rRNA from 1 species